CUUUACAGUUGCAUCUAUUCAGAACGAAUAUGACCUGCGAUAUUUAAAAAGAUAGGAUGGAGGUGUUUUAGGUCUCAUUAACUGCUAGCAGUUUCAAUUGCUGUUAGUAAAAGUUAAAAACAACAGAUCUGCUUUUAACAUUUAAAACAAAGGUAGUUUAAUGACAGAUCAAAUGAGCUACUGGCAUUACCCUACUUAAGGUGUGUAUAUAUUACAUUUUAAAUUAUAA